CGGAGUGAUUAACUGCCGAACCCAGAGUCCUGUGAUUGGGAUUUCUUUCAUCUUUCCGUACGUAUAUAGCUGCUAUAGUCGUCGUCCUAAUUUAAGUUACUCCUCGCUAACACCGCGUGAUUCGGGAGAAGAAAACCACUUAUAUAUUUAACCGAAAGGUAUUUUACUUUUUUUCCCCCCUCUCCCCCUCGUCAGUAUUAUUACUGUUAUUUAACACGGUCUUGCGGGUUUACGAGGGGGAAAAUCCUACCCAGUAUAAGUCCUCUUAGAUUGGAAAAACAUAUCGACGGGACCGGAUUAACUGUGUACAUAAAUAUACAGAUAAGUACGGUGGAGAGGUUGCGUCUAAUUAAAUCAAACCGUUUUUAUUGUGUUGUACUGCACACUACAAAGGCGCAUAGACGUCUUA